UACGGGGGGGGCAAGCGUUGUUCGGAAUUACUGGGCGUAAAGGGCGCGUAGGCGGCCUUCUAAGUCAGACGUGAAAUCCCCCGGCUUAACCUGGGAACUGCGUCUGAUACUGGAAGGCUUGAGUUCGGGAGAGGGAUGUGGAAUUCCAGGUGUAGCGGUGAAAUGCGUAGAUAUCUGGAGGAACACCGGUGGCGAAGGCGGCAUCCUGGACCGAAACUGACACUGAGGCGCGAAAGCCAGGGGAGCAAACGGG
rnacentral:rRNA from 1 species